rnacentral:rRNA from 1 species
CCUACGGGAGGCAGCAGUGAGGAAUAUUGGUCAAUGGGCGCUAGCCUGAACCAGCCAAGUAGCGUGAAGGAUGACUGCCCUAUGGGUUGUAAACUUCUUUUAUAUGGGAAUAAAGUGCAGUAUGUAUACUGCUUUUCAUUUACCUUAUGAAUAAGGAUCGGCUAACUCCGUGCCAGCAGCCGCGGUAAUACGGAGGAUUCGAGCGUUAUCCGGAUUGAUUGGGUUUAAAGGGAGCGUAGGCGGGUUGUUAAGUCAGUUGUGAAAGUUUGCGGCUCAACCGUAAAAUUGCAGUUGAUACUGGUAUCCUUGAGUACAGUAGAGGUAGGCGGAAUUCGUGGUGUAGCGGUGAAAUGCUUAGAUAUCACGAAGAACUCCGAUUGCGAAGGCAGCCUGCUGGACUGUAACUGACGCUGAUGCUCGAAAGUGUGGGUAUCAAACAGGAUUAGAUACCCCGGUAGUC